rnacentral:rRNA from 1 species
UACGUAGGGUGCAAGCGUUGUCCGGAAUUAUUGGGCGUAAAGAGCGUGUAGGCGGCCCGAUUAGUCCGCUGUGAAAGUCCAGGGCUCAACCCUGGAAUGCCGGUGGAUACUGUCGGGCUAGAGUCCGGAAGGGGCGAGUGGAAUUCCUGGUGUAGCGGUGAAAUGCGCAGAUAUCAGGAGGAACACCGGUGGCGAAGGCGGGUCUCUGGGCCAUAACUGACGCUGAGGAGCGAAAGCGUGGGGAGCGAACAGG